GUAGUGGGGGAUAACGUUCGGAAACGGACGCUAAUACCGCAUACGUCCUACGGGAGAAAGCAGGGGACCUUCGGGCCUUGCGCUAUCAGAUGAGCCUAGGUCGGAUUAGCUAGUUGGCGGGGUAAAGGCCCACCAAGGCGACGAUCCGUAACUGGUCUGAGAGGAUGAUCAGUCACACUGGAACUGAGACACGGUCCAGACUCCUACGGGAGGCAGCAGUGGGGAAUAUUGGACAAUGGGCGAAAGCCUGAUCCAGCCAUGCCGCGUGUGUGAAGAAGGUCUUCGGAUUGUAAAGCACUUUAAGUUGGGAGGAAGGGCAGUAAGUUAAUACCUUGCUGUUUUGACGUUACCGACAGAAUAAGCACCGGCUAACUUCGUGCCAGCAGCCGCGGUAAUACGAAGGGUGCAAGCGUUAAUCGGAAUUACUGGGCGUAAAGCGCGCGUAGGUGGUUUGGUAAGUUGGAUGUGAAAGCCCUGGGCUCAACCUGGGAACUGCAUCCAAAACUGCCUGACUAGAGUACGGUAGAGGGUGGUGGAAUUUCCUGUGUAGCGGUGAAAUGCGUAGAUAUAGGAAGGAACACCAGUGGCG
rnacentral:rRNA from 1 species